AUUUAAAUAGUUUAAUAAAAAUUUUGAUUUGUGGAGUCAAAGAUAUGAAUAAUCAUUUUAAAUA
rnacentral:tRNA from 1 species